CCUACGUGGUGCAGCAGUCGAGAAUCAUUCACAAUGGGGGAAACCCUGAUGGUGCGACGCCGCGUGGGGGAAUGAAGGUCUUCGGAUUGUAAACCCCUGUCAUGUGGGCGCAAAUUAAAAAGAUAGUACCACAAGAGGAAGAGACGGCUAACUCUGUGCCAGCAGCCGCGGUAAUACAGAGGUCUCAAGCGUUGUUCGGAAUCACUGGGCGUAAAGCGUUCGUAGGCUGUUUCGUAAGUCGUGUGUGAAAGGCGCAGGCUCAACCCGCGGACGGCACAUGAUACUGCGAGACUAGAGUAAUGGAGGGGGAACCGGAAGUCUCGGUGUAGCAGUGAAAUGCGUAGAUAUCGAGAGGAACACUCGUGGCGAAGGCGGGUUCCUGGACAUUAACUGACGCUGAGGCACGAAGGCCAGGGGAGCGAAAGGGAUUAGAUACCCGGGUAGUC
rnacentral:rRNA from 1 species